rnacentral:rRNA from 1 species
ACAGCAGCAGCCGCGGGAAUACGUAGGGUGCAAGCGUUAAUCGGAAUUACUGGGCGUAAAGCGCGCGUAGGUGGUUCGCCAAGUUGGAUGCGAAAUCCCCGGGCUCAACCUGGGAACUGCAUCCAAAACUGGCGAGCUAGAGUAUGGUAGAGGGUGGUGGAAUUUCCUGUGUAGCGGUGAAAUGCGUAGAUAUAGGAAGGAACAUCAGUGGCGAAGGCGACCACCUGGACUGAUACUGACACUGAGGUGCGAAAGCGUGGGGAGCAAACAGGAUUAGAUACCCGAGUAGUCCCUGUCUCUUAUAC